rnacentral:rRNA from 1 species
UACGAAGGGGGCUAGCGUUGCUCGGAAUUACUGGGCGUAAAGGGCUCGUAGGCGGCCAACUAAGUCGGAUGUGAAAUCCCCAGGCUUAACUUGGGAACUGCAUCCGAUACUGGAUGGCUUGAAUCCGGGAGAGGGAUGCGGAAUUCCAGGUGUAGCGGUGAAAUGCGCAGAUAUCAGGAGGAACACCGGUGGCGAAGGCGGCCUUCUGGACAGUGACUGACGCUGAGAUGCGAAAGCGUGGGGAGCAAACAGG